GUUAUUUUUCAUUCCCUCACUUUAUCCCUUCAAUUUUUCAUUCCCGCUCACCUAUUUCUCUAAUCUUCUGCAAAUCCCAAAUUUCUUCUCCAAACCCUUAAAAACUCUAUCAAUCAAAACUCUAAACAUUCCUUUACUCAAUGCUUAUUUUUGUUCAAACAAAUUGAAAAACCUUAAUGAAACCCUAACCCUAAAUAAGAAGCCAUAUUCUCCUUGAAACCAAACAAAGAAGCCUUUCACCCCCUUGAAAAUAGCUUCCUCAUAUUCAUUUCAUCGCAGUUGUUGUGGUCACAGCCCUAUUUCACUGAAACCCUUAUGACCCUGUCCGGCUAAAACCCUCGUAUGGAAGAAAUCAAACCUCACACCUUCUGUCUCGAUGAAAUCCUACGUAUAAACCUUCUUAUUGAGAACUAAUUCUAAAAAAACUCCUUUAACCGUCGCAGUUUGUGUUCUCGUUGUGAAGACACAAAACUUGGAUUUGCAAAGAAGCCCUCUACUUAUCUCUUAUGUCGACCUUGGUCUCCGGCCUUCGUCACGGUCUAAGUCUUUGGCCUCAUCUUCACAGUCCGCCUCCAUUCGCAGAGGUAAUCUAAUAACCAGAGACUUAAGUUUAAUGCAGCUUCUAACGAGAAGCAGAUUGCAUGCGCCGUGAGGGUACCAUUCCGUGAAGGCAAGAAUAACCCUUGAAGGAAUGAAGUUUUUAGAAAGUGCAGAAAUGGAUGUAGAAUGUAGAAUGUAUAACGGUAGGUGACAUGGUUUAAUUUGGCUCAUGAAAUGACUGCCGAAUUCAGUGGGUUAUGCGCUGAAGAGGUGCAUCAAUAGCUGAAGUCUAUUUUCCAAGUUUAUUUAAAUAUAGUUUGUAUUACCUCUUCCCAGUCUAGACAUUUCCUUAUGCAUCUUUCUCUUAAGAGUUUAUAAUGUAAAACCUGAAUUUUGGCUUAUUUGCAACAAGAGCUGGAAAAACUGCAUGACUUAAGGAAUAAAGUCAAAUUGGAAGGAGAACAAUGGGACGAUCUCGUAUCAAGUUCGAGUCAGAAUUCCCAUUUAGUUUUGAAGGCUACUGUCCUAUGGGAUUCUUUAGUAGCUCGUAAAAGUCAACAGGAAGUUCUCGCAUCAGGCCCUAAUGAAGACUCACUAGAUAGCUCAUCGUGAACAUAGGUAUCGAAUCUAUCGAUCAUCUCUGCUUGCAGCCAUGGACCAGAAUUUUCGAGCUCCUUAUCCAGAUAUAUUAUCUGAUUUUGUCAGAGAGCAUAUAGUGGACCACAGAUUGAGGGGCUGCUUCACUUUUGCAUUGGAUCAGAUAAAUAAGGUCUCUCCUUACCCAUUUGUGCUUCUAACUUGUGGUGAAUGAUGAACUGUAAAAUACUUUACACGAUGAUGAUUAUAUGUUUGUAAUAUAUGGAACUGUUUUUGAAAACUGAACUGUUUUUGAAAAUAGAAUUCAAACUUGUCCUUAUUCACUGUAAUUUGAAGCGCGGGUCUGUCAACUUGACCACCAGCUGUUUGAUCAAUUUUCUCAACUUCUUUGAAGGAUGUUUCGAGUUUAUCCUCAUUGAUGGACCCUAUGUAAGUUUAUAUUCCUGUUACAUAUGCACACUCGCUUUUAAUUCUCCCGAGGACUUGCCAAAGACACUCAUGCGAACUCUAAAUCAAGGCCCGUCUCCUAUGAACAUGAACUCUAAAGCAAGGCCCGUCUUCAAAUGAACUAGCUUAUUUUUCUGAAUUGGAGAUGUCCAUGUUGCUAACUAAGUCAUGUAAUGUAACUACGAUGUGGGAUGCUGCUACGGGUAUAAAGCAGUAAACUUUCUAAGGUCACGAGGCUCCCGUUUAUUAAGAAAGCAGUAGAAGUUGGCUUUGUUACUUUUGAUGAAAUAGUAUCAGAUUUGUACUAAUUAGUUUUCUACUGUGUGACAAAUAGUUAGAUGUUGGGUUAGAGAUAAUUAAUUUCAACCUUGUGGCAUUUAAUUUGGUCUUUA